CUCCUGCCCCAGGCAAAGGGCUGAUUUCCUGAGUACACAUUAAUCUGAGCUCCCUCAGCCCUAGGGGUAGGGGGAUUGGGGGCACAAGAUGGGUGGAGCCAGAUAGGGAAGAUUCCCCCAGUGUUGUCCUGCUCCCAGUCCAGGUUUGGGACAAUGCCGGCAGCGUUUCCCUGUGUCUUUCCCCCACAAAGUCUCCAAGUCUCUCCUCAAAUGAGCUCCAAGGCUUGGGAGAAACAAUCUCUUCCUCUGCCCGGGUUGCGUGGAUCUCCAGUGGAAAGGAAGAACCGGAACUAUGAUUUGUGCCUUCCUUAUUGCCUCCGAAAUAUUUUUAACUGCAGAGGAAAGCCUGUAUUAUUUUGGAGAAAGGCGAACAGAUAAAACGCACAGCAGUAAAUUUCAGGGACUAGAAACUCCUUCUCAGUAGAGACAAGGUUUCACCCUGUUGGCGAGGCUGGUCUCAAACUCCUGACGCCCAGUGAUCUGCCCACCUCGGCCUCCCAAAGUGCUGGGAUUACAGGCGGGAGCCACCAUGAUGGCCAACUUUUGAAUUCUGAACCAGUUGAUUGAGUACCAGAGCUCUUCAAUACCUUGAAGAAAGAUUCAGGGGAGAGCCGUUGUGAACAGCUUGCCCCAGGGAAAGGACAAGGCUGAGAGAAUUCCAGGGCUUCCUUGAGAAAACAGAAUUGAGGAAAUGCAAAGUGAAGAAUUCUAGCAUCAGGAACAAGAGAAGAAUGAUGGAAAACCUGCUACUGAGGUAUGGAGGUAUUCCUCUGGAGUUUUCACUUAUACCAUUCUCUCAUGCCCAGGAAGCUGCUCUUCACCAAACCACAAGCCUUCCUCUAACUCAGUCACAACUAAGCUUCUAUCUGGACACUGAUGAUGCUGUAACUGUUUUGUUGUGCUUCUGAUUAGUUGCCCUCUCAACCAUAAGCAGCCUAUAAACAGGGCCUGGCUCCAUCCUUGUUACUUCCCCAUUGCACUGAAUUCAGUAUUUUUCCCAUAUGUUGGAUAUUUUGCACAAGUGAAACAUCUCUACAACUGGAAUCUCCCUCCAAGACGGAUACUCUUUAUAAUAAGAUUCAUUAUUUAUUCGAUUCGUGAUACUGCAUGACAUUGAAACAGCUGGUGUAUUAACUAAUGUAUAUGACAGUCCAUCUCUGUACGAUGAUGUGAAAGUGCAGUUUUUCUCUUCGAAUCUUCCUAAAUACUAUGACAAUUGUUCAUUUUUCUUCUGGUUCAACACAUCUUUUAUUCAAAAUAACAGCUGUUUUUGUUAGUUAUGAGAUUGUUGUUUAGCCAAAAAUGCUAACUUCUAUCAUUUAGAACACUAGGCAUAAGUGGGUUAACCAAUUUAUGCCUAGUGUUCCAUUAUUGGAAUGCUCAGCAUGUGGGAGUUAUAUCCUACUGCUCAAGGUCAUUUCCAAGGUCUGAUUGUAAAAAUUCAAAAAAUUGCAACCUCACACAUAAAUUAAAAGAGAUAUAGUAUUUUAUUACUGGGUUUUCAUUCAUGUCUAUCCUGACUGAUUUCUGUCACAGAGAGAAAUUUAGAUAUUUUAUUAAACUUGGAAGUCAUUAAUGCCAUAUAAAGCAAUGCUAAGAGAGUCAGCAUGUGUUACUGAUGUGUUGCUGAAGAUUAAAGUAUUUUUAAGUCUCACCAAAAAGGUGGAAGGAGCCAACUGAGACACAAAAAAGGGGCUGAGGUUCUAUUCACGGCUUUAUCUACCAAGAAAUGAAUUGGAUAAUCCACAUCAACAAAAAGCAUGGAAAAUUUAUCCACCAGAAUUUGCCGUGGAGAUACUUUUUGGCGAGAAAUGACUUCCAAUGACGUAGCUGGAUCCGAUUAAGUAUAGUUUCCCCUUCCCCUUCUGGGAAAGAAUUAAUGUUCUUUCCAACCCCUGCCAUGUGCAUGUUCAUAUGUCCUAAGUCUUCCUUGAUGAUGUAUCUAUAUUUAUAUAUGUUUAUAUAUGUUCUUCAUAAAUCUAUUAAAUAUAUAUAGAUAAA
rnacentral:lncRNA from 1 species